GGGUUUGUGGCUCAGUGGUAGAGCGCUUGCCUGGCACGUGUGAGGCCCUGGGUUCAAUCCUCAGCACCCA
rnacentral:tRNA from 1 species